rnacentral:rRNA from 1 species
UACGUAGGGGGCAAGCGUUGCCCGGAAUUAUUGGGCGUAAAGCGCGCGCAGGCGGUUUAUUAAGUCUGAUGUGAAAGCCCACGGCUCAACCGUGGAGGGCCAUUGGAAACUGGUAGGCUUGAGUGCAGGAGAGGAGAGCGGAAUUCCCGGUGUAGCGGUGAAAUGCGCAGAUAUCAGGAAGAACACCCGUGGCGAAGGCGGCUCUCUGGUACGUGACUGACGCUGAGACGCGAAAGCGUGGGGAGCGAACAGG